AUGGUAAGAGUUGCCUUCUCUAUUUCAUCCUAUUUCUAAAAGGCUUAUGUGGAGUUCAAGGUAGGGAUGAAAGGAGAUAGCAUACUUACUUUGCAUGUAUUGCGAAGUCAAAGCUCGGAUCCUUGAAGAGAAGUGUCAUACUCCCAGAUCAAGAUGUGCAAGUGUGAUAUAUGGUGGACUAGGUUGCUCCUUUAUUUGAUAGACUCUCUAUGUAUUGAGACAUGGCUAGCUUUUUUUUUUAUAUAUAUGAGCUUUCAUGUGCUCAAUUUUCUUUUUCUGUGGACUUGCAUAUGUCCAUCUUUUUAUUUCAUUUUGCCUAGCCUUUUGAUGUCUCAUUUACCAAAUAAUGCUUAGAGAGAUGUUCUAACAUUUAGAGUAUGGAGCAACCUAUUUAGUGGAUGCGAAAUACAUGUGAUUGCGUACUUCCAGUGUAGAAGCAGCAUAUAUAUAUGUGGUGUGUACGUGAUCUUGAUCUUAGGAGCAUGAAAAGUCUCUUAACAAGGGUCAACAAGACUUGACGACACUCAACACAAAGCAAAUAGCUUAUGUGGAAAGAUUGCAAUUAUGUAAAGUAGAUAUGGCUGUGGUAGGAAUUCAUCACCAUUGAGGAACAAUUAAGGUUUUGAUCAUUUUAAGAAUAAAUCUCUGAUAAUCAUGUAUGCUUAGAAAAAUAUUAUAGUAGCUCUUGUCUUACUAUCUCAUGUCCCACAACAACUUAGACUUAGUUCUAGCACUUGCAACCCACAAAGUUUUUAGGUUCAUGGCAGUUUAAGUGAGCUAAGUGAUCCAUACUUAGAGAAAUACUAAGUUGUAUACUAGGUACUAGAGAAACAUUAACAAGCAACUAGUCAUCAUUUCCAUGAGGGAUAUAAACAUACAUGAAGCAUAUAUGCUAAAGGGAAAUGCUAAUAAAUAUUUAUUUUUUUUUAAGUAAGAAUGAUAAAAUGCAUGAAAAUAAAUAGGAUAGAAUACUUACCUUAGUGGGGGAGAGGAUCUCCCCCAAGCUAGAUCUUCGCUCACUGUGGUG
rnacentral:lncRNA from 1 species